rnacentral:lncRNA from 1 species
ACCUGGGACAGGUGAGACAUGGACAGGUGAGACACACCUGGGACAGGUGAGACACACCUGGGACAGGUGAGAUGGGACAGGUGAGAUGGGACAGGUGAGACAGGUGAGGGACACGUGAGACACACCUGGGACAGGUGAGACAGGUGAGAUUGGACAGGUGAGAUGGGACAGGUGAGACAUGGACAGGUGAGACAUGGGCAGGUGAGACACACUUGGGACAGGUGAGACAGGUGAGACACACCUGGGACAGGUGAGACACACCUGGGACAGGUGAGACAGGUGAGACAGGUGAGAGAUGGACAGGUGAGAUGGGACAGGUGAGAUGGACAGGUGAGAUGGGACAGGUGUGUCCCAGGUGUGUUUUACGUGCCAUACAUGUACCAUACAGGUGUAUUACAGGUGUGACAGGUGUAUUACAGGUGUGACAGGUGUGU